AAUAUACAUGUAAAAUAAAUAAUAAUAAUAAUAAUAAAUAAUAAUAUAUAAUUUGGCCAUAGUACACAAAAGAAUUUAUAAUAAAAGAGAAAAUAAUUAUAUUUUGAAAGAACAAACUAUAUACAUAAUAGAUUUGAAAAGAAAAUAUAUAUUAAAUAGAUUUAAAAGAAAUUAUAUAAAUAAAAUAAAAUAGAAUUAAUAAUGUAUAUAAAAUAAAACUAAUUUCAUCAUAUAUAUAAUAAUGUAUAAAAAUAUUUUAAUUAAAUAUUAUACAAGAAUUUAGAAUAAUACUAUAUAAAAUAAAACUUUAAAAUAACACUUUACAAUUCAAACAAAUAUAAAAAAAAAGUAAAAUUAUUAAAGUAACCUAAUAUGUAUGUUUAAAUAAAUUUUUAAAAAGUUGAAUGCUAAAUAAAUUAAAGAAAUAAUGAAUUAUACAUACUGAAAUGGAAAUAAACUCAAUUGAAAUAAAUUUAAACUAAAAGGGACAAUUAAUAAAUAAAAUAAGCUGUUGAAACCAAAAUCAGGACCCAAAUGUAACGCGCGCAAACUCGCAAGGACGGAAAAAACAAAUAAACCAUGCCCCAGAACAAUUCAUUUCCGCGCGGACUGAAAUGAGUAGACGCACAAAUUCUUGGGACAAUUUAAAAAAAAAGGAAAAUAUAAACAGGUUUUAAUUACAAGUCAGUGCAAAAAGGGAGGGACCAAACGCGCAACUUAACCAUUUAAAGAGAAUAUGCGCGUAAACCAAGUCAAAACGCGUUCUGUUUCUUCCCCCCAAAAAAGAAAUGCUAUUUUAUUUUAUUACUUAAAUAAAAAAACUGUUUUAAAAUCAUUUGAUUUUUGCGUUUAGAAAAAAAACCUAAUGCUCCCAAAUCUCUUUACCUUUUCUCUCCAGCCGAAAAGCUAUGUUCAAGCUUUCAACCGCCCGCUUGUACCGGCGAAGUAAGGCCCUCCAAUGGUGCGAGCACGACGCGCGAUAAGUUUAUUCUCCUCUCUCUGAUCCUUCGCAUGUGUUGUGGAUCCAAAUGAAAAAAAGAAAAAAGAGGAAAAAUAGAAUAAAAUUGCAGUAAAUAAUCACCUUAGAAGUAUUCUUGGUUGCUUUUCUACUAAUUUUCAUAUGUAUUUUGUAUUAUCACUCGUCCGUCAAAAAAAACAAAUGAAAAUUCGUGGCCUUUUAUAGCCAUUUUUACAUCUGUUUCUUCUCCACUAGUUGCAGGUAUGGCGAACGUGGUUCGAAGUGCAAGGAUGUGGGGCGGGCAAUACGCGAGUCAAGGGGUCGUGUGUGGGGCGUGCGUUGGUGGCUGCUGGUGGCUGCGGCGCAAGGCAAAUAGAACCCUAGGGCUUGCUAUUUCUGAAAACGAUUUGGGCCAUUGGGCUUGUGUAAUCAAGUAUUGGGCCAUUGCAAAGUUUUGGGCCUAGUGUAACUAUAUUUGGGAUUGUUUUUUUUGUUUUAUUUUUUCUGUAUAUGUAUGGGCUCGGGCUAAAAAUUGAGUCUACAACAGUGAUAUAAAAGUUUCUCAAAGUUUGUUUUACAUUUAAGGGCACACAUGACAUUUUAUAAAAAUUGUUCUAACACUUUAAUCAAACUAAGAAAACUACAUAAAUUUAAGAUGUCUCCCAAACAUUAAGCUAAUUAUUCCUUAUGUUUUAAGAAGCCAUUUUAAUACUCAUAUAAUAAAUAAGGUUUUCUUAUAUUUUUACACGCGAUAUUAAGAUUUUAUAUAAGAGAAAGAGAACAAACAUUUAGUUAACGAUAACUAAGUAAGAUAAAUUGAAAAAUCGAAAAACGACCUAAAUUAAAGUGUUUGAACUAUUUAUGAAAUACAAAUUUAAAGUGGUUACUUGAAAUCGAACUAAAUUUUAUUUUUAUUUAAUAUAUAAAUUAUUUUAAUUUUUUAUGGUAUAAAAUAAAUAUUUUAUAUUUAAAAUAGUAAAAUAUUUAAACGAAAAAUUAUUUUGUUUUAUAAAUACUAAUGAAAAAAAUUUAGAAAUUUUGUCAAAUCAUAUUCAAAAAUUAUAAAACAAAGUUUAUUUUGUUAAAAUAAAUUUAAAAAUAGAAAAUCAAACAUUAAUAUAAAAAUCGAGAACCGAACCGCACAUCGAAUUAUGAAAAAUUAAAAAAUCUAAAAAAAUCCCAUCAAACAUAUCACCCUAGACUGAAUUAUAAUUUUCUUAAUUUUACUAGAAAAAGAAAAGGCAAAUAAGAGAGCAGAAUGGUCUAAUCUAAUUCUAAAAAAAAAAAAAAAAUCAGAUUGCAUGCAAAUUGUCCGUGAAAAAAUAUGUGACAAAUCAUACUACACCCACCAGCACAACCCAAUUCCUGCCGUGGUCCGGUAUGUAGAGCCCAUCCCCAAGCACCAGCUGCAUUGGAGAAUUGGGAUGUGUUUAUCACCCCCAACAAAAUGGUACAUGAAAUGAUGAUCUACCUUUCUUUGGGCUUUUAUGAAUCCAGACCUUAAGGGCCAUUGGAUUACACUACAGAAAAAAAAGGGGUCUUAUACAAGUCUACUGCUUCAUGCACAAUUGCAGUCCAUUAUUCAUAGUUUUGAAUCUGUUGCUGGUAGCAGAAACAAGGCAAAUUGUGGGAAACUAACAGGCCCUAAUUUUUUUUAAUCCAAAUAUGUAUAUAUUACAAAGCCUAGAUGAACAACAAUGGCAACAUCAACAUGGGCUCGUCAUGAAACAAGCCUGAAGAAAUAAACAAAAGCAUAGUAGUUUUUAUACCCCACUGGUGAAGAAUGACAAACACAGUUUCCAAAUUCAAAUGCAUCAUCUAAACAAAUAUGCCCCUUUCUUAGUCUUAUCUGCAUGGAUUUGCUUGCUGGAAAUGAAAAAGCAAAAAUGAAAGAAAAAGAAAAAAGGUGAAAACAACCUUCAAGGUUUAAGAGAUGAUAUGUAAUUUUUCACUUUUUUCAACGCAUUGCAGCAAAAGGGUUCCUUUUCCAUUGCAGAGGCUGAUAUGUUAUCUCUGUUUCCUCUAUUUUAGUCCAUGGUAAUUUGUGUUUAGCCACCUUUCGCUUCCUAGCUGCUACUCCCAGAUAGUCUCCAGCGUUCUGAAUUUGAAUGAAUUUACAGUAAAACAGUCAAAUUCUUGUUAAUGUUAAAUGCAGGCUAAAUUUGGAUGCUAAAGAUCAGAUUUUGGUACCUUGAGGCAGAGUCCUUCUUGGACAUCACAAAUGGGGUAAUCACUAGGGCAGCAGUAUUCAGUUCCGGUACAGCAAACAGCAUUUUCAUAUUCACAGCAGCCGUAUAUUAGGCAAUAAUCAUAGAAUUCAAAAAGGCAACAGCAUGUCUCAUCACUUGAACAAUAGGAAAAGUCUCCACAAUCACUUGGUGAAGGAGAUGGAGGUGGUGGUGGUGGUGGAGUUGAAGGAGGUGGCGGUGGAGGAACACUUGGCGAUGGAUAAGGGGAUGGUGAAGAGGAUUCUUUAGUUGGAUAAGAAGCCAUGGCAUUGACAGCACAAACACCAUAUGGUAAAUCAGUGUCUCUUUUUAGAUAGAAAUAUCCAUCUAUCCCCCAACUUGUUCCCCAUGAAUUCUUCACUAUCCAAUACUCUUCACUGCCUUCUGAACCAUAACCAACUAUUAAAACAGCAUGAUCAAUGUCAUCUGGAUCAUCCGAGCAGCUCCCAUCAUAA
rnacentral:lncRNA from 1 species